GCGGAAGAUCGGGUAGUCGCUGCAGGCAGUUUGUCUGCAGAGGAAAGUCCGGGCACCACAGGACAGGAUACCUCAUGCUGAGUGAGGAGCCCGUAAGGGUAUGGAAAGUGCAACAGAAAGCAGUCCGCUCUAUCCCGUUACAGUAUGGGAUUGGGGUGAGGAGUGAAAUGGCGGGGUAAGAGCCCACCGUUCCGUUAAAAAAACGGAAGCUGGUAAACCCUAUCCGGUGCAAG
rnacentral:RNase_P_RNA from 1 species